rnacentral:rRNA from 1 species
CACGUAGGGGGCAAGCGUUGUCCGGAUUUAUUGGGCGUAAAGAGCUCGUAGGCGGUUCGGUAAGUCAGGUGUGAAACCUCCAGGCUCAACCUGGAGACGCCACCUGAUACUGCUGUGACUCGAGUCCGGUAGGGGAGCGUGGAAUUCCUGGUGUAGCGGUGAAAUGCGCAGAUAUCAGGAGGAACACCGGUGGCGAAGGCGGGUCUCUGGGCCGAUACUGACGCUGAGGAGCGAAAGCGUGGGGAGCGAACAGG